rnacentral:rRNA from 1 species
AGUGAACGCUGGCGGUAGGCCUAACACAUGCAAGUCGAACGGCAGCACAGUAAGAGCUUGCUCUUACGGGUGGCGAGUGGCGGACGGGUGAGGAAUACAUCGGAAUCUACUUUUUCGUGGGGGAUAACGUAGGGAAACUUACGCUAAUACCGCAUACGACCUACGGGUGAAAGCAGGGGAUCUUCGGACCUUGCGCGAUUGAAUGAGCCGAUGUCGGAUUAGCUAGUUGGCGGGGUAAAGGCCCACCAAGGCGACGAUCCGUAGCUGGUCUGAGAGGAUGAUCAGCCACACUGGAACUGCGACACGGUCCAGACUCCUACGGGGGGCAGCAGUGGGGAAUAUUGGACAAUGGGCGCAAGCCUGAUCCAGCCAUACCGCGUGGGUGAAGAAGGCCUUCGGGUUGUAAAGCCCUUUUGUUGGGAAAGAAAAGCAGCAGGUUAAUACCCCGCUGUUCUGACGGUACCCAAAGAAUAAGCACCGGCUAACUUCGUG